CUAUGCUUAUUAAGAAAUACUGCCAACAGUUCUAUAGUUAGCUUCUCCAAGAAUUAUGUGGAGGAACAGGAGACUGCUCACCACUCAUCCCUGGAAACUAUAAAAUAGCUUCCAGAUACAUGUGCCCAGCAUGGUGAUUUUUUUUUUUUUUUUAAUUUUUUUCUUCUAAGACCCCUGGAAACCCACACAUUCAGAACUCUUGUCUCCUGGGAAUAAUGUGUGUGGGUACAAAGCUAUGCAAGAGGAAGAAGGACUCGCCUCGGGAGGGGGUUUGCACACAAAGACUCAGAGCACCAUGAAGAGCACAGGACUACAGAAAGCGGACACCAAUCUCUUCCGCUUCAGGGAAUCUCCUCGCCCGUGAGGACUUCUCGCCAUUCGCUCACAUUGUGCGCAUCAUCAAGAAAUGUGCCAUUCCCUUCCGGAACUACCCCUGGACUCCCACUGUGAGACAGUGCAGCCCUGGAACCAAAUCAGAGGAUACUAGCUUGCCCCUCAUUCUCCUCAGCUCCCUCUCACAAGAGCUCUGGGCCAAGCAGCAGAAACCCUCCUGGAUCUUGACUCCCAGCAAUAAGGUGCAUAACUGGGCUCCAAAGGAUGAACUAGAAGAUUUCUGGCACCCCGAUGUAUGGCAAGCCUAUGAGAAUAUUAAAAAGAAAUUUCUACCUGAAUAUAUGAAAAGGCGGCAGCGUGAUAAGAGUAAACAUGUCCUGACAAAUAUUAGCUCAAAAUUUUAAGAUUACCGUAGAAAAAUAAGAAAUCAUAUAAUUAUUCUCUGCAGAAAAGAUAUCCAUGGAAACAGCCAAAAUUCCAGCUGUUACUUUUAAUCAAGUGACCCUGGAGGUGCCUAGAAGCACAAGGAAAAGGACAACCUCUACAAUGUACAGAAGGUCAAAUUAAAGCCCCAGAAUCAAACUUUACUUGAAGGGAGAAGAGGCUGGCAAAAUUGAAACAAUGGAAAAUUAAGAGUAAACACAGCAAUGAGAUAUUCAUUUACCGUCCUCAUGUUAACACUGCCUGCAACAAUGCACUUAAGGAUAAAGUCCUCCUACCCUGGUCUCCAUUCUACUAAAGCACAGCUCACAAAUGAAUAGUAUAUUGCCCCUCACA